rnacentral:misc_RNA from 1 species
UUUCCGUAGGUGAACCUGCGGAAGGAUCAUUACAGAGUUCAUGCCCUCACGGGUUGAUCUCCCACCCUUGAAUAUUUAUACCUUAGUUGCUUUGGCAGGCUGUGGAAACACCAUGGGCUCCGGCUUAUGCGUGCCUGCCAGAGGAAACAAACUCUGUUUUUAGUGAUGUCUGAGUACUAUAUAAUAGUUAAAACUUUCAACAACGGAUCUCUUGGUUCUG